UGGGCUCGAAAUGCAGUGGACCGGGGUAGAAAUAUCCCUUUUCGCAAGAACUGCUGCAUAGGUGCUGCAUGGCUGUCGUCAGCUCGUGUCGUGAGAUGUUGGGUUAAGUCCCGCAACGAGCGCAACCCUUAUCGUUAGUUGCCAGCGAGUCAAGUCGGGCACUCUAGCGAAACCGCCUCGGAUAACGGGGAGGAAGGUGGGGAUGACGUGUCGUUACCUUA
rnacentral:misc_RNA from 1 species